UACGUAGGGUGCGAGCGUUAAUCGGAAUUACUGGGCGUAAAGUGUGCGCAGGCGGCCGAGCAAGUCGAGUGUGAAAGCCCCGAGCUUAACUUGGGAACUGCGCUCGAAACUACUUGGCUAGAGUGUGGCAGAGGGAGGUGGAAUUCCACGUGUAGCGGUGAAAUGCGUAGAGAUGUGGAGGAACACCAAUGGCGAAGGCAGCCGUCCUGGGCCAACACUGACGCUCAUGCACGAAAGCGUGGGGAGCAAACAGGAUU
rnacentral:rRNA from 1 species